AUUUAUAUAGUUUAAAAAUAAAACAAUACAUUUUCAUGGUAUAAAUAAUAAUUAAUUAUUUAUAAAUA
rnacentral:tRNA from 1 species